rnacentral:misc_RNA from 1 species
AACGCACGAGACCUGCGGACCUGCGGAAGGAUCAUUACAGAGUUGCAAAACUCCCAAACCAUUGUGAACGUUACCUUCUCGUUGCUUCGGCGGGCGGCCCGGGUCCUUCCCGGCGCCCCCCGGCCCCUCGCGGGCGCCCGCCGGAGGUAAACCAAACUCUUGAAUUGUAUGGCCUCUCUGAGUCUUCUGUACUGAAUAAGUCAAAACUUUUAGCAAUGGAUCUCUAGAUCGGAAGAGCAC